rnacentral:miRNA from 1 species
UAUGUGCUUGGCUGAGGAGCCAAUGGAGUAAAACUAUCAUCUGUGGGAUUAUGGCUGAACGCUUCUGAGUCAGAAUCCUGCCCAUCGGAACGACAGGGAAGCACUGAGGAGCCCUGGCUGGCC